AUUGAUUGGAUGGAGAAAGGUGUAUAUGACGCCUUGCAGAAGAAGUACCUGAAAACGCUUUUGUUCUGUGUGUGUGAAGAGGUUGAAGGGCCGAUGAUAGAGGAAUACACAUUUUCAUUCAGUUACUCAAAUUCCGAGAGCCAGGAGGUUUCAAUGAAUAUCAGUCGCUCUGGAAACAAGAAGCAUGGUGGAACAUUCAAGUGUGACUCCACA